rnacentral:rRNA from 1 species
AUUGAACGCUGGCGGCAUGCCUUACACAUGCAAGUCGAACGGUAACAGGUCUUCGGAUGCUGACGAGUGGCGAACGGGUGAGUAAUACAUCGGAACGUGCCUAGUAGUGGGGGAUGACUACUCGAAAGAGUGGCUAAUACCGCAUGAGAUCUACGGAUGCAAGCAGGGGAUCGCAAGACCUUGUGCUACUAGAGCGGCCGAUGGCAGAUUCGGUAGUUGGUGGGAUAAAAGCUUACAAAGCCGACGAUCUGUAGCUGGUCUGAGCGGACGAUCGGCCACAUUGGGACUGAGACACGGCCCAGACUCCUACGGGAGGCAGCAGUGGGGAAUUUUGGACAAUGGGCGCAAGCCUGAUCCAGCAAUGCCGCGUGCAGGAUGAAGGCCUUCGGGUUGUAAACUGCUGUUGUACGGAACGAAAAGCCCUGGGUUAAUACCCUGGGGUCAUGACGGUACCGUAAGAAUAGGCACCGGCUAACUACGUGCCAGCCGCCGCCGUAAUAC